GACGAACGCUGGCGGCGUGCCUAAUACAUGCAAGUCGAGCGGACGAUUCGAAAGCUUGCUUUUGAAUCGUUAGCGGCGGACGGGUGAGUAACACGUGGGCAACCUGCCCUGUAGACGGGGAUAACACCGAGAAAUCGGUGCUAAUACCGGAUAACACGAAAUGUCGCAUGAAGUUUAGUUGAAAGGCGGCGCAAGCGGCCGCUACAGGAUGGGCCCGCGGCGCAUUAGCUAGUUGGUGAGGUAACGGCUCACCAAGGCGACGAUGCGUAGCCGACCUGAGAGGGUGAUCGGCCACACUGGGACUGAGACACGGCCCAGACUCCUACGGGAGGCAGCAGUAGGGAAUCUUCCGCAAUGGGCGAAAGUCUGACGGAGCAACGCCGCGUGAGCGAAGAAGGCCUUCGGGUCGUAAAGCUCUGUUGUUAGGGAAGAACAUGUAACGUAGUAACUGACGUUACUAUGACGGUACCUAACGAGAAAGCCGCGGCUAACUACGUG
rnacentral:rRNA from 1 species